rnacentral:lncRNA from 1 species
GGGGCUGGGUGGGAAGGGGCGUGUGCCAGCGCACGCGCGCGCGCUCCCGAAAAGGAGAGGUCCCAGAGCAAGAAGGAGCGGGCCCAGUUUUUCGGAGGGAGUAUCAGGGGUGUUUGUGAGCGUCUAGGGCCGGUCGGUGCCGAGGAAAGGAAGAGGGCACCAUGGCUGCCCUGCUACUGCUUCCCCUGCUCCUGCUGCUGCCUCUGCUGCUACUGAAGCUGCACCUCUGGCCGCAGUUGCGCUGGCUCGCGGCCGAUUUGGCCUUCACGGUGCGCGCCCUCCGCUGCAAAAGGGCUCUGCGAGCUCGUGUGCUGGCUGCGGCUGCCGCCGACCCAGAAGGUCCGGAGGGGGGCUGCAGCCUGGCCUGGCGCCUCGCGCAACUGGCUCGGCAACGCCCGGCGCACACCUUCCUCAUUCACGGCGCGCGGCACUUUAGUUACGCGCAGGCGGAACGUGAGAGUAACCGGGCUGCGCGCGCCUUCUUGCGCGCGCAGGGCUGGGACCCUGGACGCGGCGGAGGCGUCAGGGCGGCGGGGAGCCCGUGGGCAGGAGACCCAGCAGCCGGAAGCAGCGCGGCGCCUCCAAAGGAUAGGGUGGCCGGAGAUGAAGGAGCCAUGGCCCCUCUGGCACCUGGGGCGACCGUGGCGCUUCUCCUCCCCGCCAGCCCAGAAUUCCUGUGGCUCUGGUUCGGGCUGGCCAAGGCCGGCUUGUGCACGGCCUUCGUGCCCACCGCCCUGCGUCGGGGCCCCCUGCUGCAUUGCCUUCGCAGCUGCAGUGCGCGCGCGCUGGUGUUUGCGCCAGGUAAGGCUGGAGCGCCGAACUGACCGAGGCGGGGCCAGCCCAGGAGGGACAUGUCUGGAGUCCGGUGAGGGCUGGGUCUUGUCUCUGGGCCUGGGAAACCGCCGAACUGUCUCCCUGGGGUUCAGAAGUGAGUGGGAUUUGAGUCCGUGGGUUUUGGAACAAUUGGUGCUGAAUCUCUUUCCCCAAGAACAAUUCCAAGGAGUGGGGCUUCAGGUCCCAGACCCGUGAUGGAAUGUCCCUGCCCUUCACCUUCAUCCAAGAGCAGUGCGACAGAUGUGGAGCAUUGGCCAGGGCGUAGGAAAGUUUCCACAGUCGCCGAGUUGUGCUUUCCUACCCCUUCUAGAAUUCCUGGAGUCCCUGGAGCCCGACCUGCCUGCCCUGAGAGCCAUGGGGCUCCACCUGUGGGCUACGGGUCUUGAAACCCGUCUUCCUGGAGUCAGAGAUUUUCUGGCUGAGGCAGCAGCCGAAAUAGAUGAGCCUCUGCCGGGAUACCUCUCUGCCCCCCAGAACAUGAUGGACACGUGCCUGUACAUCUUCACCUCUGGCACCACGGGUGAGGGCUGGACACCAGGCUUACCUUAGGAAACUAAGGCAGAGGAGGGAGGGUCUGGGAACAGGAACUGGGACCUCCUAAGCCCCCGAGAGCACCUCUUCAAGUCUCCUAGAGGGGGCACCUAUCCUGGGGCACCUCCUCUCUCUCCAGCCCUCCCACUCCCUCUUCGUUCCUCACCUCCCCAAAGUACCCACAUCUCCUGGAUGGCCGGACCGCCCUCUGAUUUCUGAUGAUUCUGAUUCUGACCCCAGCAGGGGAAAACGGGGAGCUAGGACUCAGAGCCUAGCUCUUCCCCUGAUCACCCGGCUCCCACCACCUCACAGGCCUCCCCAAGGCUGCUCGGAUCAGUCACCUGAAGAUCCUACAGUGCCAGGGAUUCUACCAAUUGUGCGGUAUCCACCCGGAGGACGUGAUCUACCUUGCCCUGCCACUCUACCACAUGUCUGGCUCCCUGCUGGGCAUCGUGGGCUGCCUGGGCAUCGGUCAGCCCCCCGCCCUUCUGUCAACAGAUGUUUAUUAAGUGUCAGCUGUCGAAUGCUUCCCAGGGAUGAGUUCUAAGGGCAGAGAAUCCAGAGGGAGGAGGAGCAGGGCCACACUCUCCCCAGAUCUUGGUACAGUGGGGACACGCACCAUGUUUCAUGCUCUGCCUACAGAUUGAGUGACCAGGGAGACCACAGGAUUCACAGAACUCCAGACUCAGGGACAAAGUGGGGCAAGGGUUCUGUCAGUCAGUCUAAGAAAGGGCAUAGAAGAGGGUGGGACUUGAGCCCGGGUACAGGGGUGGAAUAUUUGGGGCAGGGAAUCAGAGAAGGGUAUUGUCCUCUCAAAGGCAUGGGCAGGAAGGAAGGAAUGUGCCUGGAGCCUUGACCUGCUAGAGGUCUGGCUCUCCCUGCGGCUUCUUCCCAGGGAGCUGGCCCAGCUAGUGACCUGUCCUCCUUCCCUCUUCGCUUCCUGCUUCCGGCAGGGGCCACAGUGGUGCUGAAGUCCAGGUUCUCAGCUGGCCAGUUUUGGGAGGACUGCCAGGAGCACAGGGUGACGGUGUUCCAGUACAUCGGGGAGCUGUGCCGAUACCUGGUCAACCAGCCCCCGGUGCGUUUGGCCAGGUCACCCUGACAGUCGUCUGGGAAUUGGAGGGAAAGGAGAAGGAAGUGGGCGUGGCAUACAAGGAGCCCAAGAUGGCUUAAGCUACCUGAGGCUUAGGGCCUCUGAAAGAGGUCACAGGGGAGGGGCUUCGCACUGGGGACCUGGCGUUUGGGUGUGAAACCCCUCCCUCUCCCCCACUCGUUUCAGAGCAAAGCAGAACUUGGCCAUAAGGUCCGGCUGGCAGUGGGCAGCGGCCUGCGCCCAGACACCUGGGAGCGUUUUGUGCGGCGCUUUGGGCCUCUGCAGGUGCUGGAGACGUACGGACUGACAGAGGGCAACGUGGCCACUUUCAACUACACAGGGCAGCGCGGUGCUGUGGGACGUGCUUCCUGGCUUUACAAGGUGAGAGGAACCCCACAGAUCACGGGGAGGCUGGCGGGAGGGAGGCCCAGGCACUGGAAUGACCCCGAGCUGGGUCUCCCUUCCCCCAGCACAUCUUCCCCUUCUC